UGGACACAGACAUUCGUUCAUUAAAAAGCAAUGAAUGUCUCACUGACAGGGUCAUUGACUGUUAUUUGUUAUUGCUGGUCACACAACAAAGUGAAUUAGGAAGAAAUGUUGUACAUUAUGACCAAACCAAAAUGACAGGGAUCAUAAAUUCAGAUUUCCUAUUACCAGAUGUAUCCCAAAACUCUGGUAUAGAUUUAGAGGCUGAUGUUAUUGUGGGAGUGUAUCACAGGUCAUAUCAUUGGACUUUAGUGAUUGUUGAAGUAAGAGAAGGCAAGAUUUUUUUUCUAUAAUCCAUGUGGAGAGAAGAGCUAUGAGAUGAAAAAAAUUGAAAGGAGUUGGAGAAAAUAUGACCAUGAAUAUCGGCACAAGUACCAAAUAAGCAACAAGUCACCAGAUUGGAAGAUAUGUUCAAGUCCACAUGCUCUUCAGAGGGAUUCAUUCAACUGUGGAAUAUAUUGCCUUG